GGCUUAACUGGGAGCGGUCUAUGGAUACUGCCAGGCUAGAGAUCAUCAGAGGAGAGCGGAAUUCCCGGUGUAGUGGUGAAAUGCGUAGAUAUCGGGAGGAACACCAGUGGCGAAAGCGGCUCUCUGGGGUGGUUCUGACGCUGAGGGGCGAAAGCGUGGGGAGCAAACCGGAUUAGAUACCCGGGUAGUCCACGCCCUAAACGAUGAAUGCUAAGUCUCCGGGGUAUCCACCCCCUGUGGGCUGUAGUUAACGCGUUAAGCAUUCCGCCUGGGGACUACGGCCGCAAGGCUAAAACUCAAAGGAAUUGACGGGACCCCGCACAAGCAGCGGAGCGUGUGGUUUAAUUCGAUGCUAAGCGAAGAACCUUACCUAGGCUUGACAUGUAAGUGGUACCGAUUCGAAAGAUGAGGGACCCGCAAGGGAGCUUACACAGGUGCUGCAUGGCUGUCGUCAGCUCGUGCCGUGAGGUGUCGGUUUAAGUACCGCAACGAGCGCAACCCUCGUCGUUAGUUGUAUUUUCUAGCGAGACUGCCCGAAGGGAGGAAGGUGGGGAUGACGUCGAGUCAUCAUGGCUCUUACGUCUAGGGCUACACACACGCUACAAUGGCCGGUACAGACGGCUGCGAAGCCGCGAGGUGGAGCUAAUCCGAAAAAACCGGCCCCAGUUGGAAUUGCAGGCUGAAACUCGCCUGCAUGAACGUGGAGUUGCUAGUAAACGCAGGUCAGCACACUGCGUUGAAUACGUUCC
rnacentral:rRNA from 1 species